rnacentral:rRNA from 1 species
GACAGAGGCCCCAAGCGUUAGGCGGAAUCACUGGGCUUAAAGCGUGUGUAGGCGGAUCGUUAAGUGUCUUGUGAAAUCCCACGGCUCACCCGUGGAACUGCUGGGCAUACUGGCGAUCUUGGGCCAACUAGGGGCAGCCGGAACAAGCGGUGGAGCGGUGAAAUGCGUAGAUAUCGCUAGGAACGCCAAAGGUGAAAACAGGCUGCUGGGGUUGUGCCGACGCUGAGACACGAAAGCCAGGGGAGCAAACGGG